CAAGGACACUCGUCACUCAACCAGUGCAUCAAAGAGUUUCUAAAGGAAGAGAAGUUAGAUGGUGAUAAUCAAUAUUACUGUACCCAUUGUAACAGCAAACAGAAUGCUGCUCGCUACAUUGAAUUGCACUCCCUGCCUCCAGUUCUCAAUCUUCAACUAUUACGAUUUGUGUUUGACAGGAAAACAGGCUACAAGAAGAAACUGAACUC